rnacentral:tRNA from 1 species
GAGAAAGGCAUAGUGGCUAUGGGUUGGCUUGAAACCAGUUGGAGAGGGUUCAAUUCCUUCCUUUCUUA